AACGAACGCUGGCGGCAGGCUUAACACAUGCAAGUCGAACGCAUGCCUUCGGGCAUGAGUGGCAGACGGGUGAGUAACGCGUGGGAACCUACCCCUUGGUACGGGAUAGCUCCGGGAAGCUGGAGAUAAUACCGUAUGUGUCCUGAGGGACAAAGAUUCAUCGCUAAGGGAUGGGCCCGCGUCGGAUUAGCUAGUUGGUGGGGUAACGGCCUACCAAGGCGACGAUCCGUAGCUGGUCUAAGAGGAUGAUCAGCCACAUUGGGACUGAGACACGGCCCAAACUCCUACGGGAGGCAGCAGUGGGGAAUAUUGGACAAUGGGCGCAAGCCUGAUCCAGCCAUGCCGCGUGAGUGAUGAAGGCCCUAGGGUUGUAAAGCUCUUUCACCGGUGACGAUAAUGACGGUAACCGGAGAAGAAGCCCCGGCUAACUUCGUG
rnacentral:rRNA from 1 species